AGCAGCCGCCGCGGGAAUACGGAGGGAGCUAGCGUUGUUCGGAAUUACUGGGCGUAAAGCGCACGUAGGCGGCUUUGUAAGUUAGAGGUGAAAGCCUGGGGCUCAACUCCAGAAUUGCCUUUAAGACUGCAUCGCUUGAAUCAUGGAGAGGCGGGUGGAAUUCCGAGUGUAGAGGUGAAAUUCGUAGAUAUUCGGAAGAACACCAGUGGCGAAGGCGGCCCGCUGGACAUGUAUUGACGCUGAGGUGCGAAAGCGUGGGGAGCAAACAGGAUUAGAUACCCCAGUAGUCCCUGUCUCUUAUAA
rnacentral:rRNA from 1 species